rnacentral:rRNA from 1 species
AGAGUUUGAUCAUGGCUCAGAACGAACGCUGGCGGCGUGGAUAAGACAUGCAAGUCGAGCGCUGAUUGUCGGGUAGCAAUAUUCGGCAGUCGGAGCGGCGCAAGGGUGCGUAACACGUGGGUAAUCUGCCAUGAAGUUUGGAAUAACUUGCUGAAAGGCGAGCUAAUACCGGAUGUGACCGUUGGGAGGCCUCUCCCGAUAGUUAAAGCUGGGGACCGUAAGGCCUGGCGCUUCUUGAUGAACCCGCGGCCUAUCAGCUAGUUGGUGAGGUAACGGCCCACCAAGGCUAAGACGGGUAGCUGGUCUGAGAGGACGACCAGCCACACUGGAACUGAGACACGGUCCAGACACCUACGGGUGGCAGCAGUCGAGAAUUUUUCACAAUGGGCGCAAGCCUGAUGGAGCGACGCCGCGUGGGGGAUGAAUGGCUUCGGCCCGUAAACCCCUGUCAUUUGCGAUCAAACCUCGGUAUUUAAAAGAUGCCGAGCUGAUAGUAGCGAAAGAGGAAGGGACGGCUAACUCUGUGCCAGCAGCCGCGGUAAUACAGAGGUCCCGAGCGUUGUUCGGAUUCACUGGGCGUAAAGGGUGCGUAGGUGGUGAGGUAAGUCGGAUGUGAAAUCUCGGAGCUUAACUCCGAAACUGCAUUGGAAACUACCUCGCUAGAGGGUUGGAGGGGGGACUGGAAUGCUUGGUGUAGCAGUGAAAUGCGUAGAUAUCAAGCGGAAUACCAGUGGCGAAGGCGAGUCCCUGGACAACUCCUGACACUGAGGCACGAAAGCUAGGGGAGCAAACAGGAUUAGAUACCCUAGUAGUCC